UGGGGAAUCUUGCACAAUGGGGGCAACCCUGAUCCAGCCAUGCCGCGUGAGUGAAGAAGGCCCUCGGGUUGUAAAGCCCUUUUGUCCGGACAGAAAAGCAUUCGGUGAAUACCCGGAUGUUCUGACGGUACCGGAAGAAUAAGCACCGGCUAACUUCGUGCCAGCAGCCGCGGUAAUACGAAGGGUGCAAGCGUUACUCGGAAUUACUGGGCGUAAAGCGUGCGUAGGUGGUUGUUUAAGUCUGAUGUGAAAGCCCUGGGCUCAACCUGGUAAUGGCAUUGGAAACUGGGCAGCUAGAGUGCGGUAGAGUGGAGUGAAAUUCCCGGUGUAGCAGUAAAAUGCGUAGAGAUCGGGAGGAACAUCUGUUGCGAAGUCGACUGCCUGGACCAGCACUGUCACUGAGGCACGAAAGCGU
rnacentral:rRNA from 1 species